rnacentral:rRNA from 1 species
GGGUUGUGAGGUUAAGCGACUAAGCGUACACGGUGGAUGCCCUGGCAGUCAGAGGCGAUGAAGGACGUGCUAAUCUGCGAUAAGCGUCGGUAAGGUGAUAUGAACCGUUAUAACCGGCGAUUUCCGAAUGGGGAAACCCAGUGUGUUUCGACACACUAUCAUUAACUGAAUCCAUAGGUUAAUGAGGCGAACCGGGGGAACUGAAACAUCUAAGUACCCCGAGGAAAAGAAAUCAACCGAGAUUCCCCCAGUAGCGGCGAGCGAACGGGGAGCAGCCCAGAGCCUGAAUCAGUGUGUGUGUUAGUGGAAGCGUCUGGAAAGGCGCGCGAUACAGGGUGACAGCCCCGUACACAAAAAUGCACAUAUUGUGAGCUCGAUGAGUAGGGCGGGACACGUGGUAUCCUGUCUGAAUAUGGGGGGACCAUCCUCCAAGGCUAAAUACUCCUGACUGACCGAUAGUGAACCAGUACCGUGAGGGAAAGGCGAAAAGAACCCCGGCGAGGGGAGUGAAAAAGAACCUGAAACCGUGUACGUACAAGCAGUGGGAGCACGCUUAGGCGUGUGACUGCGUACCUUUUGUAUAAUGGGUCAGCGACUUAUAUUCUGUAGCAAGGUUAACCGAAUAGGGGAGCCGAAGGGAAACCGAGUCUUAACUGGGCGUUAAGUUGCAGGGUAUAGACCCGAAACCCGGUGAUCUAGCCAUGGGCAGGUUGAAGGUUGGGUAACACUAACUGGAGGACCGAACCGACUAAUGUUGAAAAAUUAGCGGAUGACUUGUGGCUGGGGGUGAAAGGCCAAUCAAACCGGGAGAUAGCUGGUUCUCCCCGAAAGCUAUUUAGGUAGCGCCUCGUGAAUUCAUCUCCGGGGGUAGAGCACUGUUUCGGCAAGGGGGUCAUCCCGACUUACCAACCCGAUGCAAACUGCGAAUACCGGAGAAUGUUAUCACGGGAGACACACGGCGGGUGCUAACGUCCGUCGUGAAGAGGGAAACAACCCAGACCGCCAGCUAAGGUCCCAAAGUCAUGGUUAAGUGGGAAACGAUGUGGGAAGGCCCAGACAGCCAGGAUGUUGGCUUAGAAGCAGCCAUCAUUUAAAGAAAGCGUAAUAGCUCACUGGUCGAGUCGGCCUGCGCGGAAGAUGUAACGGGGCUAAACCAUGCACCGAAGCUGCGGCAGCGACGCUUAUGCGUUGUUGGGUAGGGGAGCGUUCUGUAAGCCUGCGAAGGUGUGCUGUGAGGCAUGCUGGAGGUAUCAGAAGUGCGAAUGCUGACAUAAGUAACGAUAAAGCGGGUGAAAAGCCCGCUCGCCGGAAGACCAAGGGUUCCUGUCCAACGUUAAUCGGGGCAGGGUGAGUCGACCCCUAAGGCGAGGCCGAAAGGCGUAGUCGAUGGGAAACAGGUUAAUAUUCCUGUACUUGGUGUUACUGCGAAGGGGGGACGGAGAAGGCUAUGUUGGCCGGGCGACGGUUGUCCCGGUUUAAGCGUGUAGGCUGGUUUUCCAGGCAAAUCCGGAAAAUCAAGGCUGAGGCGUGAUGACGAGGCACUACGGUGCUGAAGCAACAAAUGCCCUGCUUCCAGGAAAAGCCUCUAAGCAUCAGGUAACAUCAAAUCGUACCCCAAACCGACACAGGUGGUCAGGUAGAGAAUACCAAGGCGCUUGAGAGAACUCGGGUGAAGGAACUAGGCAAAAUGGUGCCGUAACUUCGGGAGAAGGCACGCUGAUAUGUAGGUGAAGCGACUUGCUCGUGGAGCUGAAAUCAGUCGAAGAUACCAGCUGGCUGCAACUGUUUAUUAAAAACACAGCACUGUGCAAACACGAAAGUGGACGUAUACGGUGUGACGCCUGCCCGGUGCCGGAAGGUUAAUUGAUGGGGUCAGCGCAAGCGAAGCUCUUGAUCGAAGCCCCGGUAAACGGCGGCCGUAACUAUAACGGUCCUAAGGUAGCGAAAUUCCUUGUCGGGUAAGUUCCGACCUGCACGAAUGGCGUAAUGAUGGCCAGGCUGUCUCCACCCGAGACUCAGUGAAAUUGAACUCGCUGUGAAGAUGCAGUGUACCCGCGGCAAGACGGAAAGACCCCGUGAACCUUUACUAUAGCUUGACACUGAACAUUGAGCCUUGAUGUGUAGGAUAGGUGGGAGGCUUUGAAGUGUGGACGCCAGUCUGCAUGGAGCCGACCUUGAAAUACCACCCUUUAAUGUUUGAUGUUCUAACGUUGACCCGUAAUCCGGGUUGCGGACAGUGUCUGGUGGGUAGUUUGACUGGGGCGGUCUCCUCCUAAAGAGUAACGGAGGAGCACGAAGGUUGGCUAAUCCUGGUCGGACAUCAGGAGGUUAGUGCAAUGGCAUAAGCCAGCUUGACUGCGAGCGUGACGGCGCGAGCAGGUGCGAAAGCAGGUCAUAGUGAUCCGGUGGUUCUGAAUGGAAGGGCCAUCGCUCAACGGAUAAAAGGUACUCCGGGGAUAACAGGCUGAUACCGCCCAAGAGUUCAUAUCGACGGCGGUGUUUGGCACCUCGAUGUCGGCUCAUCACAUCCUGGGGCUGAAGUAGGUCCCAAGGGUAUGGCUGUUCGCCAUUUAAAGUGGUACGCGAGCUGGGUUUAGAACGUCGUGAGACAGUUCGGUCCCUAUCUGCCGUGGGCGCUGGAGAACUGAGGGGGGCUGCUCCUAGUACGAGAGGACCGGAGUGGACGCAUCACUGGUGUUCGGGUUGUCAUGCCAAUGGCACUGCCCGGUAGCUAAAUGCGGAAGAGAUAAGUGCUGAAAGCAUCUAAGCACGAAACUUGCCCCGAGAUGAGUUCUCCCUGACUCCUUGAGAGUCCUGAAGGAACGUUGAAGACGACGACGUUGAUAGGCCGGGUGUGUAAGCGCAGCGAUGCGUUGAGCUAACCGGUACUAAUGAACCGUGAGGCUUAACCUUACAACGCCGAAGCUGUU